GCUAGCAUAAUACAAUGAACCAUAGUCCGAUCAUUGAGCCAAUUCUAAUAAGUGUCUUUGAUCGAGCUAUGUGUAUUUGGAGUUGGCUCCUUGGGUGCCAGAUCAGUUAACACAUACAAAAUCUAUUCGUACUCCAGGAUAAUUUUGAGCUUUCGAUACCAGCUAUCAAAAUAUGAUUCCAUCAAUUUAUUACUAUCUAAUAGUGAUCGAAGGGAUAAGGUGGUGGCCAUA
rnacentral:lncRNA from 1 species